rnacentral:lncRNA from 1 species
UUGGGCAGGGGGAAGUCCAUGCAGACAAACCAAUGGGUUUGCUAGUUUUCUGAAUCUACGCCAAGGUGGGAUCUCUCUUCCCUCCAACUGUCCAAGAAAACCAAAGCACUGGGCUGAGGACAAGCCAAAAAGCUGCAGGUCCUCUGAAGUGAUGCUGGAGAAAUGUUCUUCCUCAUCAGAAGCAUCCCAGGACAGCUUUGAAUGGCGAAGCAGAAGAGCAAGCAGGGCAUGGCCACAUCCUUCCCUGAUGCCCUCUCCUCCUCCCGUGGGUGCAAUGUUACUGCUGUCAGCACGUCCUUCACUUCUGAUGCUAUCUGCCACAGAUUGUCCUUCAGGUGCUGUAUGGCAGGGACAUGUCCCCUGGGGAAGACCGCACACGAGGUGUGGGAGUUGGCUCUGUGGUCCGGAUCUCAACCUGAAUGAUGCUGGAGAAGAGACCUCAGAACCACUGUCAGCACCUGCACCACGGGUCAGUUGGGACCUGUUGGGUCCCUGCCAGAUUCAAUUUUGGACCUGUGAAUUGUGGCACCCCUCCUGAGCCCUCUGAGGCACAGGGAAAGCGAGGAUCGCCGCAGCAAGCGGGCAUUCACCAGGAAAACUCUUAUGUACUUACUAUGUAAGUCAAGAGUAUUUACAGGAGAUCUUGCUGCCUGUAACUUAAAGCUUUAGCGAAACAAAUUGGAAUUGCCUUCUGGAGGCCAUUGUUAUAAAUUACAGCCCCAACAUCUGUCCACAUCUGCAGCGUCUAGACAACCCGUCUCGGGGAGGGGAGCGGGCGGGGGGCCGCGAGCGCAGUGGGGAGGGGGGCACAGGAUGGUGCUGGGGCCGUGCUGGGCACCCACCUCGAGCUGUCCCCUGGCCUUAAAGCACAGCCGGGUCUGCCCCAGCCACGAGGGACACCCAGAGCAUCUGUGCUCGGGGCGGGAGCCACGCCUGCCUUCCCCCACUGCAGCCCACGGCUUGACACCAGCAACAAAUUUGGCCUUUGGAAGCCUCGACCGCCGUGGCCUUAUUUAUUGCACGUUGGAGGAUGCGAGGGGAGGCAGCGCCUCCAGGCAGCCUUCUUCUGUCUUCCCCGGGCCCCUGUGCAGCGCUUGCGAUAAAGAGGCCGGGCCCGUCAGCUGAGCGAUUGUAUUUUUUUUACAGUUCCUAGCGCAAACCUUCUCAUUUAUAUGUAAAGUAGCCAUUAGUCAUAGCUCUGUUCCCUCACACUGCCUGAUGUACAAUCACAUUUUGCAGUGGAUGAAUCUUUCCACACAGCUGCUCUGCUAUGAAUAAUCCGUUGCCGGGCCCAUAAAUCAGAAAAAAAUCAUGCACCUCCUUUGCCUGAUCCUUACACAAAGUCAUAUAUUUUACAUGAGGACAAGCUAAAUAUUCAUGAGGCU